AAGGUUUUAUUUAAUUUUUAUAAUAUCUUAAUGUUAAUAAGAAGUUUUUAAUCUUU
rnacentral:tRNA from 1 species